rnacentral:rRNA from 1 species
UACGGAGGGAGCUAGCGUUGUUCGGAAUUACGGGGCGUAAAGCGCGCGUAGGCGGCUUUGUAAGUUAGAGGUGAAAGCCCGGAGCUCAACUCCGGAACUGCCUUUAAAACUGCAUCGCUUGAAUCCAGGAGAGGUGAGUGGAAUUCCGAGUGUAGAGGUGAAAUUCGUAGAUAUUCGGAAGAACACCAGUGGCGAAGGCGGCUCACUGGACUGGUAUUGACGCUGAGGUGCGAAAGCGUGGGGAGCAAACAGG